UGUGCGCGCAUGCACCUAAAGUGAAGCAAAGCGCAUCCGGCUGUGAUUUAAUGCUACCCCGUUGUCAUAUUUGCAGGAAAAUAGCUUCGGUGAAGUCUGCUGUCAAGUUACUGGACACGUUGUAUUUGCACAACACUUCUGAAUCCGCAGCUUCGGUGUUUUAAGGCUGUUUCGAUAUGGAGAAGAAGUGGGAAGAGAUUUACGCGUUUAUUUCUGCGGGCUCCAACCCUUCAGGAUAUGACAAGGCUCAGAGGCAAAACCUCAGAAGAUAUGCCUCAAAAUUCCAACAAAAGGAUGGAGAACUCUUUGUUGGAACCAGAAGAGUAGUAAAAACCAUGGAUGAUGCCAGGAAGAUAUUUCAUGAGUUUCAUUCAUCUCCAAUUGGAGGACACACUGGCACACACAAAACGCUAAAUGCAGUGUGUUCCAGAUUUUACUGGUUUGGUAUGAUAGUUGACAUUAAAACAUGGGUAUGUAUUAACUGUUUGCAUUGUUGUUAAAUGCCGUUUAAAAUAAGAAUUUUUUUUUUAUAUCAGUUAAAAGAGAAACUGUACGCUUGCAAAAUAUAAAUAAAUAUGAUUAAUUAGUGAUAUUACAGUAAUAACCUGUAGGCCUGGCAGAGAUUUGAAGACACACACAAAGUUUUGCUGCUAAAUUGUUUGUUCGUUAGAGAAUAUAUCAUUAAUGAUGUUUUUGUUUUUUGUUUUUUAUAAAUGAGAAUGUUGAACAUUUACGUGAACUCCAUAAAUAUUUUUACCUUAAAGAUUCUAGAAUGUGACCAGUGUCAAAAAGUUGGGAAACCACUGACUGCUGUGCAACCGUUGCAGUGUAUUCAGGUGUCUGAAGUGUGGGAACUUAUUGGUAUAGAUCUUACUGGACCUCUUCCUAAAACGUCAAGCGGCUUCCAGUAUAUACUUACUGCAACUGACUACUUUUCAAAAUGGGUUGAAGCUUUCCCAUUAAAAACGAAAUCUGCAUCUGAGGUAGCCAAUGAGAUGAAAAGACCAAUGACAACAUAAAAAGAGCCCUCCGAAAACUGGUGAAUGACCAGCAGAAUAACUGGGAUCUGUAUCUAGAUCCCACCCUGUUUUCACUGCGGUCAAAAGUACACACCACAACAAAAUACUCACCUUUUUUUCUGAUGUAUGGAAGAGAGGCAGUAUUUCCAUCAGAAGUGCCUGCUCAAGUGCCGGUGAGUGUUUGUCAAAUUCUUUCUAUGUUAGAACUAAGAAUUGAAACCAUUUAAGUAAAAAACCCAGUAAUGUCUUUAUGAAUAUGAUAUCAUCUUGUUUUAAUUGCUAAUAUCUACAAAAUUUUAGAUUUCCAACAUCAUUCUGCCAGACGACAAAAGGUACAGUGACUAUGUACAGUCUGAAAGUGAAGCACAACAUGCAGUUAAAGAAACUGCGCAAGAAAACAUUGCGAAGUCACAAGACAAGCAAAAGGUUGCAUACGCCAAGCAGGUCCUGAAAAAGUACAAAAAUGUUGUGUACAAUGUAGGGGAUCAAAUUCUGCUUCUAAAUAUGAGGAAACGUGGGCGAAAAGGAGGAAGACUUGAACCGGAUUUUUCAGGUCCCUACACAAUUGAUGACAUCAGUGGAAAAUGUGUUGGACCGAAAAACGCUGAGGGAAAUACUUUAAAAAGUCUAUACAGUAUUGACCACAUUAAACCUUAUAGAACAAGCCACCCUGUCCAAGUCUCAACUCCAACUGAACCUGUUGAGAGUAGCCCAUCUUCUGAGAUGCAGCCUUGCAGUCCUCAGCAUCAUCCUGAAGCGCUGCAAAAUAACAGACCCUCUGUCAUACAGUUUGCACCAAAAAUAGCUCAGGUAAAAUCAGUCCAAGCACCAGAAGAGCUUGUACCAGUGACCCCCCAGAAACCCAGCACGCAAGAAAAAGGUGGCAUAGCUAAAAAUCUCAUUCUGACCGGUUGGUCAAUUGUUGCCAGUUUGGCUAGUCGAAUGGAUAGAAUUUUUUUUUUUCUCCCCUCUUGCUAAUUUUGACCUGUUGGUCCAAUUUUGGCUAAUUUCUCCCCUCUGGCAUGGUUAUUUUGUUGGCCCGUUGGCCCUUGUCUGUUUGUGGCCCGUUGGCCAUUGACCGUGAUUUUCAAAUGGCAACUGUUAUUACUAAAGAAACUUAUCAUAUUUUGUUUUUUAGUGAAGUGGCUUUGGGCUGCAAAAGACACCGGGCGUGUGGAGGCAGUCGUUGGGCCAUACAAAUUGUAUGACUCUUCUUUUCGCACACUGGAGGACAGUGGGUGGCUUUCUGAUGAGGUCAUUGAUGGAUACCUGCACUGCCUCAUUAGGAAACAAAAGGCAAGUAAGAACGUAUGCCAGUUAUUUCACAAAAGCAUUUUAUACAAUUAUGUAAUCUUUUAAAAAAACCUCUUGCAUUUUUCAGGAACCCGUGUAUCAG